CUUCCUGGCGCAGUUCAAAUUGACUCUAGUAGGGAGUCCUUUUAACGAGAGACUCCCUAACGGAGUCAGAUUGAAUUACAAAGGAGCGA
rnacentral:pre_miRNA from 12 species